rnacentral:rRNA from 1 species
UACGUAGGUGACCAGCGUUGUCCGGAUUUACUGGGCGUAAAGAGCGCGCAGGCGGUCGUUCAAGUCGAGUGUGAAAGCCCCCCGGCUCAACUGGGGAGGGUCAUUCGAUACUGAUCGACUUGAAGGCAGGAGAGGGAAGCGGAAUUCCCGGUGUAGUGGUGAAAUGCGUAGAUAUCGGGAGGAACACCAGUGGCGGAAGGCGGGCUUCCUGGCCUGUUCCUUGACGCUGAGGCGCGAAAGCUAGGG